UGGACCAAUGACGAUGACUGGUCUCAUAGAGUCAUAUAUGGUGAGUGCAAGGUGUCUGUAACUCUGUGUUCAC